rnacentral:lncRNA from 1 species
AAUUGAUUCAGCUUCAAAACUCCUUCAUAUCAUAAAUGUGUAUUUUUUUUAACAUUUCCUUUUUUUAAAAAAAUAUAUUCUUAUUUCUUUAAGGAACUUCAGGACACAACAAAUGACUUCUCCUAAGUAUACCUCAUUUUAUGUCAGAACCAGAGUCUGCAGUAGACUUAAGGAAAGAUUGAAGAGAUAUCUUUCUUCACAAAAUCAGUUCUGUUCUGGUAUGCUACGUGCAGCAGUAUAGGAUGGAGAAGGAGGGGAGAUAAUGGAAAAAAAUCAUUGUUGGGAAUGCUCAUACUGCUGCCAUCAUGCUUUUAAAAAGAAAAGUUCUGGAAAUGGCUCAGCACAGCAAGAUAGAUACAUGCCCUGAUGUUAACCAAAGGUGGACAAGGCUUUGGCGAAAGUGGUACAGUAUAAAUCUAAGUGGAAAUGAAAGGAAAUGAACUAUCUGCCUGUCUCUGUUGGUGACAAAAUUCUAAGAGAUGGAACUUUGGAGCAUG